rnacentral:rRNA from 1 species
UGCAAGUCGAGCGAUGGAUUGAGAGCUUGCUCUCAAGAAGUUAGCGGCGGACGGGUGAGUAACACGUGGGUAACCUGCCCAUAAGACUGGGAUAACUCCGGGAAACCGGGGCUAAUACCGGAUAACAUUUUGAACUGCAUGGUUCGAAAUUGAAAGGCGGCUUCGGCUGUCACUUAUGGAUGGACCCGCGUCGCAUUAGCUAGUUGGUGAGGUAACGGCUCACCAAGGCAACGAUGCGUAGCCGACCUGAGAGGGUGAUCGGCCACACUGGGACUGAGACACGGCCCAGACUCCUACGGGAGGCAGCAGUAGGGAAUCUUCCGCAAUGGACGAAAGUCUGACGGAGCAACGCCGCGUGAGUGAUGAAGGCUUUCGGGUCGUAAAACUCUGUUGUUAGGGAAGAACAAGUGCUAGUUGAAUAAGCUGGCACCUUGACGGUACCUAACCAGAAAGCCACGGCUAACUACGUGCCAGCAGCCGCGGUAAUACGUAGGUGGCAAGCGUUAUCCGGAAUUAUUGGGCGUAAAGCGCGCGCAGGUGGUUUCUUAAGUCUGAUGUGAAAGCCCACGGCUCAACCGUGGAGGGUCAUUGGAAACUGGGAGACUUGAGUGCAGAAGAGGAAAGUGGAAUUCCAUGUGUAGCGGUGAAAUGCGUAGAGAUAUGGAGGAACACCAGUGGCGAAGGCGACUUUCUGGUCUGUAACUGACACUGAGGCGCGAAAGCGUGGGGA